UACGGGGGGAGCAAGCGUUGUUCGGAUUUACUGGGCGUAAAGGGCGCGUAGGCGGCCAGCACAAGUCAGUUGUGAAAUCUCCGAGCUUAACUCGGAAAGGUCAACUGAUACUGUGCGGCUAGAGUGCGGAAGGGGCAACUGGAAUUCUUGGUGUAGCGGUGAAAUGCGUAGAUAUCUGGAGGAACACCGGUGGCGAAGGCGGCAUCCUGGACCGGUAUUGACGCUGAGGCGCGAAAGCCAGGGGAGCAAACGGG
rnacentral:rRNA from 1 species